GAAGACGAGACACAAAUCUAUGUGGCUUCCGAACAACACGAUCCGAAACCCCGCAUUUUUUUAUUUUUUUAAUAUUUUUCAUUUACUUAGGAGCACUAAAGAAGUAACCACAGAAAAUUUGAGCUUAAUCAAGUAAAAGACGUGGCCUGCGGAAUUUUGUGAAGAUUACAAAAAAUGUGAAAAAAACUUCACAAGGUGAAAACUCAAACUUCGAAGACGAAUUUGGAGAUUCUAAAAUUUUCAAACCCCCUAAAACUGAGGACAGACAGACACUAAAUUUUUUUUUGAUCGAUUUUGAUAUAUGGAACAUUGAAAUCGGAGUUUGUAUGUGAAAGUUAUGGCUGUUUUACGAACGGACUCCGAAUUUGAGGACAAAACGGUCCGAAAGUGGGAAAAAGUUGCGUCGAUGGCUAGAAAUUGAUGGAAACGGUGGGAAAAAACACAAACUGGACUCUAACAAGACCUAACCAGCAACAAGACCUCGUCCAGGACACAAACUCAAAACUGCGGACUCGGAAACUGAAAUAUGCAAAGGCUAUGGCGCGGAAGGGUUGUAGGACACAAAAAUGAUAUGGCACUGGACUUAUGGGACAAACACAAGAACACUCGAAACUAAGGUUAGAUGUGAACCUAACGGUAUACCUGAACCUUUGAUUACCACUUGAUGAGAACAAGGGUGGCCCGAUCUUCCGAAAGGUUCUGUUAACUCUCGAUUUGGUGGAGACGAGACACAAAUCGAUCCGGCUUCCGAACAACACGAUCCGAAACCCUGCAAUUUUUUUUAUUUUUUUGAUAUUUUUCUUUUACUUAGGUGCACUAAAGAAGUAACCACAGAAAAUUUGAGCUUAAAUAAGUGAAAGACGUGGCCUGCGAAAUUUUCUAAAUUUUGUGAAAAAAGUUUAAAAAACUUCACGAGGUGAAAACUUAAACUUCGGAGGCGUAUUUGGAAAUUCUAAAAUUUUCAAACCCGCUAGUGGUAGGGACAGGCAGACCCAAAAUUUUUUUCUGAUUGAUUUUGAUAUAUGGAACAUUGAAAUCGGAGUUCGUACGCGAAUGUUAUGGCUAUUUUACGAACGGACUCUGAAUUAGAGAACAAAACGGUCCGAAAGUGGGAAAAAUUUGUGGCGAUGGCUAGAAAUUGAUGGAAACGGUGGGGAAAAACAUACUAACUGGACUCUAACAAGACCUAACCAGCAACAACCUCGACCAGGACACAAACUCAAAACUGCGGACUCUGAAUCUGAAAUAUGCAAAAGCUAUGGCGCGGAAGGGUUGUAGAACAGGAAAACAAUAUGGCACUGGACUUAUGGGACGAACACAAGAACACUCGAAACUAAGGGUAGAUGUGAACCUAACGGUAUACCUAAAGCUUUGAUUACCACUUGAUGAGAACAAGGGUGGCCCGAUCUUCCGAAAAGUUUUGGUAACUCUCGAUUUGGUGGAGACGAGACACAAAUCGAUACAGCUUCUGAAUAACACGAUCCGAAACCCUGCAUUUUUUUAUUUUUUUGAUAUUUUUAUUUUACUUAGGAGUGCUAAAGGAGUAACCACAGAAAAUUUGAGCUUAAGCAAGUGACAGACAUGGCCUGUGGAAUUUUCUGAAGAUUGUGAAAAAUGUGAAAAAACUUCACGUAUUGGAAACUCAAACUUCGGAGGCGAAUUUCAGGAUUCUAAAAUUGUCAAACCUGCGAAAGUUAGGGACAAACAGAUUUGAAAUUUUUUCUGAUUUAUUUUGAUAUAUGAAACGUUGAAAUCGGAGUUCGUAUGCGAAGGUUAUGGCUGUUUUACGAACAUACUUCGAAUUAGAGGACAAAACGGUUCGAAAAUGGGAAAAUUUUGCGGCGGUGGCAAGAAAUUGAUGGAAACGGUGGGGAAAAGAUAUGAACUGGACUCUAACAAGACCUAACCAGCAACAAAACCUCGACCAGGACACAAACUCAACACUGCAGACUCUGAAACUGAAAUAUGCAAAGGCUAUGGCGCGGAAGGGUUGUAGGACAGGAAAACGAUAUGGCACUGGACUUAUGGGACGAACACAAGAACACUCAAUACUAAGGUUAGAUGUGAACCUAACAGUAUACCUGAAGCUUUGAUUACAACUUGAUGAGAACAAGGGUGGCCCGAUCUUCUGAAAGGUUCUCAUAACUCUCGAUUUGGUGAAGACGAGACACAAAUCGAUCUGGCUUCCAAACAACACAAUCCGAAACCCCGCAUUUUUUUAUUUUUUUAAUAUUUUCCUUUUACUUAGGAGCACUAAAGAAGUAACCACAUAAAAUUUGAGCUUAAUCAAGUAAAAGACGUGGCCUGCGGAAUUUUGUGAAGAUUACAAAAAAUGUGAAAAAAACUUCACAAGGUGAAAACUCAAACUUCGAAGACGAAUUUGGAGAUUCUAAAAUUUUCAAACCCCCCAAAACCGAGGACAGACAGACACUAAAUUUUUUUCUGCUCGAUUUUGAUAUAUGGAACAUUGAAAUCGGAGUUUGUAUGUGAAAGUUAUGGCUGUUUUACGAACGGACUCCGAAUUAGAGGACAAAACGGUCCGAAAGUGGGAAAAAGGUUCGGCGAUGGCUAGAAAUUUAUGGAAACGGUGGGAAAAAAAAUACAAACUGGACUCUAACAAGACCUAACCAGCAACAAGACCUCGACCAGGACACAAACUCAAAAUUGCGGACUCAGAAACUGAAAUAUGCAAAGGCUAUGGCGCGAGAGGGUUGUAGGACACAAAAAUGAUAUGGCACUGGACUUAUGGGACAAACAUAAGAACACUCGAAACUAAGGGUAGAUGUGAACCUAACGGUAUACCUGAAGCUUUGAUUACCACUUCAUGAGAACAAGGGUGGCCCGAUCUUCCCAAAGGUUCUGUUAACUCUCGAUUUGGUGGAGACGAGACACAAAUCGAUCCGGCUUCCGAACAACACGAUCCGAAACCCUGCAAUUUUUUUUUAUUUUUUUGAUAUUUUUCUUUUACUUAGGUGCAUUAAAGAAGUAACCACAGAAAAUAUGAGCUUAAACAAGUGAAAGACGUGGCCUGCGGAAUUUUCUAAAUUUUGUGAAAAUGUGAAAAAAACUUCACGAGGUGAAAACUUAAACUUCGGAGGCGUAUUUGGAAAUUCUAAAAUUUUCAAACCCGCUAGUGGUAGGGACAGGUAGAGCCGAAAUUUUUUUCUGAUUGAUUUUGAUAUAUGGAACGUUGAAAUCGGAGUUUGUACGCGAAUGUUAUGGCUAUUUUACGAACGGACUCCGAAUUAGAGAACAAAACGGUCCGAAAGUGGGAAAAAUUUGCGGCGAUGGCUAGAAAUUGAUGAAAACGGUGGGGAAAAACAUACUAACUGAACUCUAACAAGACCUAACCAGCAACAACCUCGAUCAGGACACAAACUCAAAACUGCGGACUCUCAAUCUAAAAUAUGUAAAAGCUAUGGCGCGGAAGGGUUGUAGAACAGGAAAACAAUAUGGCACUGGACUUAUGGGACGAACACAAGAACACUAGAAACUAAGAGUAGAUGUGAACCUAGCGGUAUACCUAAAGCUUUGAUUACCACUUGAUGAGAACAAGGGUGGCCCGAUCUUACGAAAAGUUAUGUUAACUCUCGAUUUGGUGGAGACGAGACACAAAUCGAUACAGCUUCUGAACAACACGAUCCGAAACCCUAUAUUUUUUUUAUUUUUUUGAUAUUUUUAUUUUACUUAGGAGUGCUAAAGGAGUAACCACAGAAAAUUUGAGCUUAAGCAAGUGAAAGACAUGGCCUGUGGAAUUUUCUGAAGAUUGUGAAAAAUGUGAAAAAACUUCACGUAUUGGAAACUCAAACUUCGAAGGCGAAUUUUAGGAUUCUAAAAGUGUCAAACCCGCGAAACUUAGGGACAACCAGAUCUGAAAUUUUUUUCUGAUCGAUUUUGAUAUAUGAAACAUUGAAAUCGGAGUUCGUAUGCGAAAGUUAUGGCUGUUUUACGAACAGACUUCGAAUUAGAGGACAAAACGGUCCGAAAGUGGAAAAAUUUUGCGCCGGUGGCCAGAAAUUGAUGGAAACGGUGCGGAAAACACAUGAACUGGACUCUAACAAGACCUAACCAGCAACAAGACCUCGACUAGGACACAAACUCAACACUGCGGACUCUGAAACUGAAAUAUGCAAAGGCAAUGGCGCGGAAGGGUUGUAGGAAAGGAAAACUAUAUAGCACUGGACUUAUGGAACGAACACAAGAACACUCAAAACUAAGGCUAGAUGUGAACCUAAUGGUAUAUAUGAAGCUUUGAUUACCAUUUGAUGAGAACAAG
rnacentral:lncRNA from 1 species